AGCCCCAGGCACACACACCUUACAAUCACAUCCAAAUUUUCAUGCUAAUUUAGAAAAAAUUACAGAAUUGCAACGGUUGGGAGAGACCUCGAGAUCGUCAAGUCCAACCCCCUUACUAAAGCGGUUACCCUACAACAGGUCACACAGCCUCAUAAGGACAGAAACAAGAAUAUCUUUCAAGAGGCUGUGUGUUACAUUACUGUAUGGGAACUGCUGAGUCAUGGCCUGAACCACUGAUUGAUCACCUGUGAAAAGGACUGGAUCAGCCCUGGGAGCACAGGGUUUCCAAGAAGGCAAUGUAAAGGAUAUCCAACGUCAACAAGUGCUUUUGUUGCCAAUGCCUACUGCAGAGGAGGGUGAGGAGGCUGCCAAGAAGAGUUUCAGAAUGGAUGAAAGCCCUACACCAAACAAAGGUCUAAAGGCUGUGGUCGAGAGCAGGCAUGGACUGACCAACUAUCCACCAUUUUUGCCUCCAAAUAUUUUCCAAGUUUUAACCCUUCAUGAGAGGCUGUUCUUGUCUUGCUCAGGACUGGACUCGCUGGUUAUUGUGACGCUGGCAGGCAGGGUCUGGGCACGGCUGGAGGCUGGAGUGCUCUGAGUUGUCGGGGACACUUCGAUUUUGUCAGAUGAGAUAGCUGAUGUGAUGGCCUGAAUCCACGUGUUCAUCUCCUCCUUCAAGAAGCCCGAAAGAUCAGGACUAGACCCUUCUGUAAGAGAUCUGCCUGCACAUGAACCUGCAUAACAGAGGCCUCAGCCUUUGCAGAAUUGAUCCUCCCAGGUGUUCAAGAAUAUAACUCUUCUCAGCUUGGAGAUGGAGCUUUGCCACAAUGAGCUGGUGAACUCUCUGAGGAUUCUCCUAAGGAGAACGAGUGAAGAAAAUACGCCACAUGAUAUUACUCAAGAAAGCCUGAUACAGGUGUCAAGUAACAUACAACUUGAGAGAACUGGAAUCAAAUCCCACUACUGCCACAAAUUCAUCACAUGAAGUGGGAAAGUCAUGAUAUCUUUAUGCCUCCAUUUUCUACCUUCCAAAUAUAAGCCAAUAGUGCAUUUUCUAACACAUAUGAUUAGAUUGCAACCUCAUCAACUAUAUUACUCAACCAUGCAUAUGCAAUUUCUAGAACAGGAGCAUUAGCUUGAAAAAUACUUCGGAGCUGUGAGAAGACAAUAACAGCAGUGACAACAUUUACAAUUAUAUAAUAACGAAAUGCCCUGAGUUGGAAGGGACCCAUAAGGAUCACUGAGUCCAGCUCCUGGCUCAACCAAGGAUCAUCCAAAAUUCAAACCAUACAUCACAGUGAAUUUGGAUACAAUCAUCUGCAUUAUUAAGUAGUGAUCUUCAUUAAACAUCAAGCACUCUUACCUGCUUGAGGCUUUCUUGUUGUGUGUCUCCCAUUCAUGUUUACGAUGCAAGAAGCCCUCCAUCUGAGCUGAAGGAAUCUCCUGUGUUUUGGCUGGUAGGGUAGCAGCAGUCUGAGCCUGAAUGGCAGCCUUGGCUUUGCGGUCUGCUGUUGGAGAAGGAACGGGACUAGACUCUUUCGAACUUGUCCUCUGUUCUGCAGCUCCAUUAACCAUUUCAUUUGUUUCCGCAGUUUCUGCCACCUAGGGACAGUGAAAAAAGUGUUCAUCUAGAUGCCUCACAACACUGAAGUAUUUUGCAGUUAAUGUUUCCCUGCACAAUGUGGCUGUGUAUAAGCUUUGCCUGGAGAAUGACACAGGCCAAUGAGAUCUUUCUCAUGGAGACACAGGAGGCCAAGGAAAUUAGAAGACUGGCCUGCCUACCAAACACGAUGAAGGCUGCAAGUCCCUUCAGCAGCAAGUAUUUCUGUACCUCAUGCUUGUCUACAAUGCUGCAGUUCAAGGUUUCCUUCAAGCUGAAAAAAAGCUUCAGCAGCUUUUGUGAAUGAGCUUACACAAUUUUGAUGAAGAACAUGAUACAAACACCAACACAGGUGUUUGAGGGCAGUUUCCUCAUGCUACUAUUUUUCUUAAAGCCCACUGAUACUUAGGAAGAAUGAAGAAAGUACACACAGCAGCCCAGAACUCUACCAAAUGACUACACUGCACUGUACAGUUUGAGAUGCCAGAAGGGCACAAAUUGGCAACUGUUUGCUACAAGAGCUACAGAAAACCUUGUUAGAGUUUUUGAACUGUGUUAUUUCUGGUGAAGAACUUGGAAAAUGCCGCAAUGCUUAAAAGUACAUCUUUUGUCAAUAAACUGUCAGAUAAUGCAAGUA